GAUUUCCUCGUGCUGUUUUCUGUACAGAACUGAUGGGAUCGGGAUUGCUGUCUGUCAGGCGACAAGGGAACCCGCCAGCUCACAGAAGGUAGGGAAACCCAGCCAACAAAGUUGCUGGAGGUGAAGAGGGAGUUAGCAGCAGUUCUGGAUCAAAUCUGAAGCCUUGCUCAAUCACAUCUUUCUUCUCCAUCUUCCAGACAGCAAUCUGAAUACAGCCGUUUGUCUCCUCUCUGUGAUUUAUUCUAUGUAACAACACUGAUUCUUUUUCAAAGCAGACUCUGACUUCAGUUUGUUGACACUAGUUGCGCAUAUAUGUGUAAUGAUGUAGGAUUAUCAGUGUGCUACAGAAGGCCCACUUUUUAUAUCAUACUUCUACAAACCACUGGCAAUGAAGUGCCAUGAUUCUCCUUGCACAUUCUCGUUUCGGGGAUGCAAAGAGAAAACAAGUAACUGUAAGCAUAACUCUUGUUUCAUACAAAUAAACAGUGCUUAUGUGGAUGUGUGACAGAUGUUA